rnacentral:rRNA from 1 species
AAUGAACGCUGGCGGCAUGCCUUACACAUGCAAGUCGAACGGCAGCGCGGGAGCAAUCCUGGUGGCGAGUGGCGAACGGGUGAGUAAAGUAUCGGAACGUGCCCAGUCGUGGGGGACAACGUAGCGAAAGUUACGCUAAUACCGCAUACGAACUAUGGAUGAAAGCGGGGGAUCGAAAGACCUCGCGCGAUUGGAGCGGCCGAUAUCAGAUUAGGUAGUUGGUGGGGUAAAGGCUCACCAAGCCGACGAUCUGUAGCUGGUCUGAGAGGAAGACCAGCCACACUGGGACUGAGACACGGCCCAGACUCCUACGGGAGGCAGCAGUGGGGAAUUUUGGACAAUGGGCGAAAGCCUGAUCCAGCCAUGCCGCGUGCAGGAUGAAGGCCUUCGGGUUGUAAACUGCUUUUGUACGGAACGAAAAGGUUUGGCCUAAUAAGCUGAGCUCAUGACGGUACCGUAAGAAUAAGCACCGGCUAACUACGUGCCAGCAGCCGCAGUAA